rnacentral:rRNA from 1 species
UACGAAGGGGGCUAGCGUUGCUCGGAAUCACUGGGCGUAAAGGGUGCGUAGGCGGGUUUUUAAGUCAGAGGUGAAAUCCUGGAGCUCAACUCCAGAACUGCCUUUGAUACUGAAAGUCUUGAGUAUGGGAGAGGUGAGUGGAACUGCGAGUGUAGAGGUGAAAUUCGUAGAUAUUCGCAAGAACACCAGUGGCGAAGGCGGCUCACUGGCCCAUAACUGACGCUGAGGCGCGAAAGCUAGGGGAGCAAACGGG